AAGAAAGUGACUGCCGCCCCGCAUAGGGGCAACGCUAAUAGACCGACACGAAAACGGGAUCCAGCGACAAUCAACCCCAACCCCGAUCCCUCAAGCCAACG
rnacentral:sRNA from 1 species